CGCCCCGCCGUGCUGGCGGCUGCGCGCUGCCCGAGCUGCGGGCGUCGCUCGCCCGAACGGAAGCGUUCGCUACACGGCAGCGCCUCACGCUUGGGGCGGUUUGUGCGGUGGUUUCUGACACGGCUCCGCUCGUGGCCGUGUGCUGCGGUACUGAGAACGCACACCUGUUGUGACAGGCUCCAGAAACAAGCCUGUUCACAGGCGCAGAAGUGCUAUUCUAGAACAUAUAGAUCCGUGCUGUACGAAAUCCUUCAUACGGUCUCCCUUCAGGAGGUUCAUAUUGCAAUCAUUCCAACCAGCAAACCCGUGACGUGUGAGGACUUGUAAGACACACCAAUAUGAACUGUAUAACCUAUGAAGCAGAACACUUUUAGACUGGAAAGUACAGGAAAAUGGUGACACUUCUUAAAUCUCUGGCAGCUUUCUGCAAAAAGAAAACAAAACCCACAAAAUGCCCCACGUGAAUCAGCUCAAAGGAACAGACAGAAUGGUCUGUUCAAUAAAAUUCUUUUUCGUUC